rfam:Catenaria anguillulae PL171 BCR44scaffold_47, whole genome shotgun sequence.
GGUGUGAUGGCCGAGUGGUCUAAGGCGUAGGUCUCAAGUUCCUAUGGAGAAAUCCGCGUGGGUUCGAAUCCCACUCGCACCA